AACGAACGCUGGCGGCAGGCCUAACACAUGCAAGUCGAGCGCCCCGCAAGGGGCGCGGCGGACGGGUGAGUAACGCGUGGGAAUAUGCCCUUUGCUACGGAAUAGUCUCGGGAAACUGGGGGUAAUACCGUAUACGCCCUUUGGGGGAAAGAUUUAUCGGCGAAGGAUUAGCCCGCGUUGGAUUAGGUAGUUGGUGGGGUAAUGGCCUACCAAGCCGACGAUCCAUAGCUGGUUUGAGAGGAUGAUCAGCCACACUGGGACUGAGACACGGCCCAGACUCCUACGGGAGGCAGCAGUGGGGAAUCUUAGACAAUGGGGGCAACCCUGAUCUAGCCAUGCCGCGUGAGUGAUGAAGGCCUUAGGGUUGUAAAGCUCUUUCAGCUGGGAAGAUAAUGACGGUACCAGCAGAAGAAGCCCCGGCUAACUCCGUG
rnacentral:rRNA from 1 species